GUUUCUGGAGAGCUUUCCUGUGUGAUCAGGGAAAACAGCAGAACUACGGGAGCAGAAUGAAGUGAGAUGCAAAGCAAAGUAAGGUAAAUUGGAAGAUACAGAAAAUAAGAAAACAAAUCAGGGGAAAAGAGGAGCUGGGUCUUGCCCAUGCAGCAGAGCAUCCCAGUUCGAUGCUAAAAACAUCUAUUCCACAAAGAAAGCAAGCAAGAAAGCAAUGGACCAAGAGAUGGGUUUUCACAGGCCUGUGUUAAUGGGGAGGAUUAGUGGAUAUAAAGACUCUGACAGAGGUUUAAAGGUUGCUUUUAGACUUAGGCAUUCCAGACUUUCCUUAACCCUUUGUGCUUGAGGUAUGUGGUGAGGGAGCUGAGUGGGUUUGCUGAGCUGCUCACAGCCUAUGAGUGUUAGCUUUCAGUGAGUUUUAAUGGUGCAAUUACUCCAUAUCCCGUGGAGUGCAAAAUCCAGGAAGACAAGUAAAAGUUCUGUGUCUUAACUAUGAGUUUGCUACCUUAAGGUUCUUUUCUAGCCUGUGCAGAGAAACACCCUUAAUAGAGAUGCUGUGUUUUAUAUGGAUAUCUUUGAGGUCAAUCCAGACAUGACUGUUUCUAUUAUCCCUGUUUCCUUUUGAUUAUAAAAGCAGACUUGCAUGACUCAGAGAUCCAAACUAUGGACAGAUGUAUUCAGUUUCAGAGCUCAAGAAAUCAGUUCCUGCUUUCCCCAAGUUAUCUGUGCCUCAGUGGUUGCUUGCUCAGACCUGCAGUGGAUUUUUGCUGCAGGCAGUGUCCAUGCAAGGACAUUCAGCAUGAGCAGAAGCUCCCACAGUCCCUCCUCUCUCGCUUAUCACCACUCUCUGCCUGUGCAAGGAGAGGGAAGAUGAUAGGAGCUAAAAGCAAUUCCCAUGAGAAAAGAGGUCAAUUUUUAAGGCAGGAAGACAACAUAAAGGGAAUUUAAAUCCUACUGUCUGUGCUGUACCUGUUCUGUGGCAAGAGAAUCCUGCUUGAUAAGUCUUAAUGCUUUACAUUAAGUGCUACACGCUCAUUAAGAAAACAAAUGAGUUUUACUGUUUUUUUCAUACUGGGUUUGGGGUUUUUUUCCAGGUUUCCACUCUAAAAACCCCUAAAUAUCAAUUAUAAUUCCUUAAUGGCUAAUCGAUUCCUAGCCUGCUUUCCCCUUUUUUGUAUUUCAAAGUGAGAAGGAAAGACCUGCACAGCAAGGAGUCUCAAACCCCCUGUAAGAGGCAAUGUGAGAUUGCCCAGUGACCUCUAUAAAGGGGAUUACUUAAUGGUUUCACCAUGGUUUCAGUGAGCAGCUAUGGCCUUUGGAUGCACAGUCCUGACAAUGAAUAUCCAGCUGGUUUAAAAGCUUUUGGUCUCACCUCAAAUCACCAUAACAGAUCAUUAGCUGCUGGGAAAUGUACCCCAUGGUACUAGCACCCUGAUUUGCGCAUUGGUUCACUUCCAAAUACCCUUCACCAUCACCUAGAAAUGCAUGUAGUAGUUUUAUAAGUAGAUUAGCAUUUACAGAAGUUACAAAGUAGUAUAUUUUCCCUAUCCCAGCCAUCUUAUCUGUAUCUUUUGUUGUUGCCACGGUUGUUCCAUCUUAAAGUCAAAGUACUCUGCUUAGUACAUAGGUGUCUAGUACAGCUCUUGUAUACUCAUGUAGACUGAUUAACCCAUGCAAUAUAUCCAUAGCUGCACACAAACCUGUGUCCAUAGUAUCACUGUCAAAAAUGGCCAGUGAAAAUGCAAGUGACAUUUGCAUCUUCAGCAUCCACUAAACCCCCUUUAGGACUGAAUAAACCCUGAGAACCCAUUUCAAAGAAACUCAGACAUAAAAUCCUCUGGCCAAGGUCUAUAAGCUCCCUGCCCUGUCCCUGCUGGCUUGGAAACUGGGGGCAGUAUUUUCCACAGAAAAUUCAAAUCCCAACUCAAGUGAAGCCAGCUGGAGUUGGAGAAAGUCAGAAAUCAGACUGUCAGGUGAGGUCUCAAGAUGGGGUCCCUGCAGCCAUGCAGUGUUGGUCACUCCAGCAGCAGGUCCUCACUGAGAACUCUUCAUUUAAGUUUUGUGCUGUAACUGUGAGGUUUCUAUUUGAGGACCUGAACAGAUGUAGUUCAGUCUAGGUUCUUCGCUUACCCCAGUCACUGCACUGAAGUCACUUUCAGACUGGCUAUUAAACGCAGGAACUGGUGGCUUUUAAAUCAUUUUCAGGAUGCUAACCAGUCCACCUCUGAAAUCCUGGGAAAAGACAGGAGAAUUAAGAGAAGUGGUGGAAGUUAGAAGCAUUAAGACAUCAGGUCUGUCUUCCCAAGUUAAUUUAAUUACUCAUGUGCCUAAAACCUGUACUGUUUAAUCGCAGAGUUAAGCUGUAAGACAAAAGCAUGACAAAACAGGGGGAUGAGAAGCAAGAGAGAAGGUUGUAAAGUCAGAGGAGGUUUUGACUGCCUGGAAGAUAACAUCUCAAAUAGUCAUUCAAUAAUUUUAAUAGAUGCCUGAAACAGCAUUAGUCAAGCUCUGCCAUUACCUUUCCAAUGAAUGCUCCUUAAAAAUACCAGGAUCUGCAGAGUGAAUGAAGAGAAGAAACCUGAGCGACAGAGCUGUGACUCCUGCUUUCCUCCGGAGAUCUCACCUCUAGUGCAGUGGCACAGUCAGGAAGCCUCACUCACUUUGAUGCAGGACUGCUUUGCAAAGAGACACUUAUCAAAACAUGAACAGGUUGGCACUUGCAGAGCUGUGGGAUAGAGGAGAUGAGGGUGGUGCAUACAACAGAGACCCAGACACAUGUUCCUCAGAUGUUUUGGGAGGCACUGGGGGG